CCUACGGGUGGCAGCAGUGAGGAAUAUUGGUCAAUGGUCGGGAGACUGAACCAGCCAAGCCGCGUGAGGGAGGAAGGUACAGAGUAUCGUAAACCUCUUUUGUCAGGGAACAAAGACUGGGACGCGUCCCCGGAUGAGUGUACCUGAAGAAAAAGCAUCGGCUAACUCCGUGCCAGCAGCCGCGGUAAUACGGAGGAUGCGAGCGUUAUCCGGAUUUAUUGGGUUUAAAGGGUGCGCAGGCGGUCUGUUAAGUCAGCGGGCAAAGCCCGGGGCUCAAACCCGGCCCGCCGUUGAAACUGGCAGUCUCGAGUUGGAGAGAAGUAUGCGGAAUGCGCGGUGUAGCGGUGAAAUGCAUAGAUAUCGCGCAGAACUCCGAUUGCGAAGGCAGCAUGCCGGCUCCACACUGACGCUGAGGCACGAAAGCGUGGGUAUCGAACAGGAUUAGAUACCCCUGUAGUC
rnacentral:rRNA from 1 species